CUACGUGCCAGCAGCCGCGGUAAUACGUAGGGGUGCGAGCGUUAAUCGGAAUUACUGGGCGUAAAGCGAGCGCAGACGGUUACUUAAGCAGGAUGUGAAAUCCCCGGGCUCAACCUGGGAACUGCGUUCUGAACUGGGUGACUAGAGUGUGUCAGAGGGAGGUAGAAUUCCACGUGUAGCAGUGAAAUGCGUAGAGAUGUGGAGGAAUACCGAUGGCGAAGGCAGCCUCCUGGGAUAACACUGACGUUCAUGCUCGAAAGCGUGGGUAGCAAACAGGAUUAGAUACCCUGGUAGUCCACGCCCUAAACGAUGUCAAUUAGCUGUUGGGCAACUUGAUUGCUUAGUAGCGUAGCUAACGCGUGAAAUUGACCGCCUGGGGAGUACGGUCGCAAGAUUAAAACUCAAAGGAAUUGACGGGGACCCGCACAAGCGGUGGAUGAUGUGGAUUAAUUCGAUGCAACGCGAAGAACCUUACCUGGUCUUGACAU
rnacentral:rRNA from 1 species